rnacentral:rRNA from 1 species
GAUUUCUGGUUCGGCGCACUUGGCCCGUCUCGGUUUACGAGAUUGUGUGCCGGUGUGCGCCAUCCAUCCUUCGAUGAAUCUCUGUUCUACCCUUCAUUGGGUGUGUUCAGAUUUAGGUUCUCGAUCUUUUACUUUGAAAAAAUUAGAGUGUUUAAAGCAGGCUUUUGCUAUGAAUACAUUAGCAUGGAAUAAUAAUCUAGGACUUCGGUUCUAUUUUGUUGGUUUCUAUAACUGAAGUAAUGAUUGAUAGGGAUAGUUGGGGGUGCUAGUAUUGGCCGGCCAGAGGUGAAAUUCUUGGAUUCGGUCAAGACUAACUUAUGCGAAAGCAUU